GGAAAAAGUUCCCACUGUAUUUGCGACAACAUUACGAGCAAGUGCGGAGCUGUUUGAGUCAAAAGUAUUCAACUUUGUGCCGCCACAAAAUGUGGAGUCACAAAAACAAACAGAGACUGUGCCUGCGAACGAAAAAAACAACUCCCAGGACAGUAUCGAAGAGCUCAAAGAAAAACUAAAAGAUCUGGAAAAUCAAUUGGCGCGAAGAAAUACUUCACGCGGUCGUGGUAGAAGAAAUGGCCGAAAGCGUAGACGGGUUAAUAACGGAGUCCGCGGUGAGCGUGGUGGCCAAGAAGGGCGCGGUGGCAACAGAGGCCACGGUGGCAACAGAGGCCGCGGUGGCAACAGAGGUCGCGGUGGACAUGGUGGGCAUGAUGGCUAUGAA